rnacentral:rRNA from 1 species
UACGUAGGGCGCAAGCGUUGUCCGGAAUUAUUGGGCGUAAAGAGCUCGUAGGCGGCUUGUCACGUCGGGUGUGAAAGCCCGGGGCUUAACCCCGGGUCUGCAUUCGAUACGGGCUAGCUAGAGUGUGGUAGGGGAGAUCGGAAUUCCUGGUGUAGCGGUGAAAUGCGCAGAUAUCAGGAGGAACACCGGUGGCGAAGGCGGGUCUCUGGGCCAUUACUGACGCUGAGGCGCGACAGCGUGGGGAGCAAACAGG